GUUUGGUUAAGUUAGAAAGGGCGCACGGUGGAUGCCUUGACACUAGGAGUCGAUGAAGGACGGGACUAACGCCGAUAUGCUUCGGGGAGCUGUAAGUAAGCUUUGAUCCGAAGAUUUCCGAAUGGGGAAACCCACCAUACGUAAUGGUAUGGUAUCCUUAUCUGAAUACAUAGGGUAAGGAAGACAGACCCAGGGAACUGAAACAUCUAAGUACCUGGAGGAAGAGAAAGCAAAUGCGAUUUCCUGAGUAGCGGCGAGCGAAACGGAACAUAGCCCAAACCAAGAGGCUUGCCUCUUGGGGUUGUAGGACAUUCUAUACGGAGUUACAAAGGAACGAGGUAGACGAAGCGACCUGGAAAGGUCCGUCGUAGAGGGUAACAACCCCGUAGUCGAAACUUCGUUCUCUCUUGAAUGUAUCCUGAGUACGGCGGAACACGUGAAAUUCCGUCGGAAUCUGGGAGGACCAUCUCCCAAGGCUAAAUACUCCCUAGUGAUCGAUAGUGAACCAGUACCGUGAGGGAAAGGUGAAAAGCACCCCGGAAGGGGAGUGAAAGAGAUCCUGAAACCGUGUGCCUACAAAUAGUCAGAGCCCGUUAAUGGGUGAUGGCGUGCCUUUUGUAGAAUGAACCGGCGAGUUACGAUCCCGUGCGAGGUUAAGCUGAAGAGGCGGAGCCGCAGCGAAAGCGAGUCUGAAUAGGGCGUUUAGUACGUGGUCGUAGACCCGAAACCAGGUGAUCUACCCAUGUCCAGGGUGAAGUUCAGGUAACACUGAAUGGAGGCCCGAACCCACGCACGUUGAAAAGUGCGGGGAUGAGGUGUGGGUAGCGGAGAAAUUCCAAUCGAACCUGGAGAUAGCUGGUUCUCCCCGAAAUAGCUUUAGGGCUAGCCUUAAGUUUAAGAGUCUUGGAGGUAGAGCACUGAUUGGACUAGGGGUCCUCAUCGGAUUACCGAAUUCAGUCAAACUCCGAAUGCCAAUGACUUAUACUUAGGAGUCAGACUGCGAGUGAUAAGAUCCGUAGUCAAAAGGGAAACAGCCCAGACCGCCAGCUAAGGUCCCAAAGUGUGUAUUAAGUGGAAAAGGAUGUGGAGUUGCUUAGACAACUAGGAUGUUGGCUUAGAAGCAGCCACCAUUUAAAGAGUGCGUAAUAGCUCACUAGUCGAGUGACUCUGCGCCGAAAAUGUACCGGGGCUAAAUACACCACCGAAGCUGCGGAUUGAUACCAAUGGUAUCAGUGGUAGGGGAGCGUUCUAAGGACAGUGAAGUCAGACCGGAAGGACUGGUGGAGUGCUUAGAAGUGAGAAUGCCGGUAUGAGUAGCGAAAGACGGGUGAGAAUCCCGUCCACCGAAUGCCUAAGGUUUCCUGAGGAAGGCUCGUCCGCUCAGGGUUAGUCAGGACCUAAGCCGAGGCCGACAGGCGUAGGCGAUGGACAACAGGUUGAUAUUCCUGUACCACCUCUUUAUCGUUUGAGCAAUGGAGGGACGCAGAAGGAUAGAAGAAGCGUGCGAUUGGUUGUGCACGUCCAAGCA
rnacentral:rRNA from 1 species